rnacentral:rRNA from 1 species
GGCGGAAGGGCGAGGAACACGUGAGCAACCUGCCUUGAGGUGGGAAACCGUGGAAACGAACGGCUAAUACCGAAUGUGGCGCCCGGAGGACAUCUCCGGAGCGGCUAAAGGGGGCCGCAAGGCUCUCCCUCUUCGAGGGGCUCGCGCACCAUCAGCUUGUUGGCGGGGUAACGGCCACCAAGGCUUACGGUUAGCUGGUCUGAGAGGAUGGCCAGCCGCACUGGGACUGAGAUACUGCCCAGACUCCUACGGGAGGCUGCAGUCGAGGAUCAUUCGCAAUGGGGGGAACCCUGACGAUGCGACGCUGCGUGGAGGAUGAAAGGCCUUCGGGUUGUAAACUCCUGUCAUGAUGGAAAGGAGAGGGGACCCAACACGUCCCUAAUUGAUAGUACAUCAAGAGGAAGAGACGGCUAACUCUGUGCCAGCCGCAGC